GCAGCACGGAGCUUGCUCUGGUGGCGAGUGGCGAACGGGUGAGUAAUAUAUCGGAACGUACCCUGGAGUGGGGGAUAACGUAGCGAAAGUUACGCUAAUACCGCAUACGAUCUAAGGAUGAAAGUGGGGGAUCGCAAGACCUCAUGCUCGUGGAGCGGCCGAUAUCUGAUUAGCUAGUUGGUAGGGUAAAAGCCUACCAAGGCAUCGAUCAGUAGCUGGUCUGAGAGGACGACCAGCCACACUGGAACUGAGACACGGUCCAGACUCCUACGGGAGGCAGCAGUGGGGAAUUUUGGACAAUGGGCGAAAGCCUGAUCCAGCAAUGCCGCGUGAGUGAAGAAGGCCUUCGGGUUGUAAAGCUCUUUUGUCAGGGAAGAAACGGUGAGAGCUAAUAUCUCUUGCUAAUGACGGUACCUGAAGAAUAAGCACCGGCUAACUACGUGCCAGCAGCCGCGGUAAUACGUAGGGUGCAAGCGUUAAUCGGAAUUACUGGGCGUAAAGCGUGCGCAGGCGGUUUUGUAAGUCUGAUGUGAAAUCCCCGGGCUCAACCUGGGAAUUGCAUUGGAGACUGCAAGGCUAGAAUCUGGCAGAGGGGGGUAGAAUUCCACGUGUAGCAGUGAAAUGCGUAGAUAUGUGGAGGAACACCGAUGGCGAAGGCAGCCCCCUGGGUCAAGAUUGACGCUCAUGCACGAAAGCGUGGGGAGCAAACAGGAUUAGAUACCCUGGUAGUCCACGCCCUAAACGAUGUCUACUAGUUGUCGGGUCUUAAUUGACUUGGUAACGCAGCUAACGCGUGAAGUAGACCGCCUGGGGAGUACGGUCGCAAGAUUAAAACUCAAAGGAAUUGACGGGGACCCGCACAAGCGGUGGAUGAUGUGGAUUAAUUCGAUGCACGCGAAAACCUUACCUACCCUUGACAUGGCUGGAAUCC
rnacentral:rRNA from 1 species